UUAAAAAGCUCGUAGUUGAACCUUGGACCUGGCUGAUCUGUCCUCCUAAUCGAGCGCACGGAUUCGGUCGGGUCUUUCCUUCUGGCUAGCCCUAUGCCCUUCACUGGGUGUAGUGGGGAACCAGGACUUUUACCUUGAAAAAAUUAGAGUGUUCAAAGCAGGCCUUUGCUCGAAUACAUUAGCAUGGAAUAAUAGAAUAGGACAUCGGUUCUAUUUUGUUGGUUUCUAGGACCGCUGUAAUGAUUAAUAGGGAUAGUCGGGGG
rnacentral:rRNA from 1 species